rnacentral:rRNA from 1 species
UCGACUGUUUAACAAAAACAUUUUUUUACGGUAAUAUGUAAAAUAAGACCUGCCCGCUGAGAUUAACUUGAAGGGCUGCGGUAUAUUGACCGUACUAAGGUAGCAUAAUCAUUAGUCCCUUUAUUAGGGAAUGGAAUGAAUGGUUUAACUGGGAUUUGUUUUUUGUUUCAAGAUAAGUAAAUUUAAAUUUUAAGUGAAAAUGCUUAGUUUCUCUAAGGGGACGAUAAGACCCUAUAGAGCUUUAUACACACUCAACCCAAAAAUUUUGGGGGAAGUUUUUGGGUUGAGUGUAUAUUUAGUUGGGGCAAUUAAUGAAUUAAAAUAACUUCAUUAUAAAAUUCGGAGUAAUCUUGUUGUUUAAAAAAUAAAAAGCUACCUUAGGGAUAACAGCGUUAUUUUUUUUGAGAGUUCUUAUCGACAAAAUUGAUUACGACCUCGAUGUUGAAUUAAGGAAUCUUUUAGGAGCAAAAUUUAUAAAAGACAGUCUGUUCGACUAUUAAAUUCUUACAUGAUUUGAGUUCAGACCGGA